rnacentral:misc_RNA from 1 species
UCCGCUUUACAGCGGCAGUUUGUUCCGAGUCCCCGACUUUACUCGCUGGUAACAGAACAUGAGGGUUGCGCUCGUUGCGGGACUUAACCCAACAUUUCACAACACGAGCUGACGACAGCCAUGCACCACCUGUGAAUCACCCUCGAAGGCGACUACUUUUCGGUAGCUUGCAGAUCCAUGUCAAGCCCUGGUAAGGUUCUUCGCGUUGCAUCGAAUUAAGCCACAUGCUCCACCGCUUGUGCGGGCCCCCGCCAAUUCCUUUGAGUUUUAAUCUUGCGAUCGUAGUUCCCAGGCGGUUCACUUAAUGCGUUAGCUGCGGCACCGAGGCAAAGCCCCAACACCUAGUGAACAUCGUUUAUGGCCAAGACUAC